AAUUCGAAACAACUUUGAAACUGCUGGCAUUAUAAUUCUAACACGAUUUGUGUGGCAGAAACUGAAGCGCAGUUCUCCACCGCUCCACUAGGCGGCGCAAGCGGCUUCACGUUCAGUCUGACACCUCCGGAUGUUUGACGACAUGACGUUUGUUUUGUUGCAACAACACAUUGAGUAGUAGACCGUUUUAAAUACAUAUCCUGAGGAUGACAGCUCUGUGACAGUGUUUUAAUGCCACUAAACAGCACAUAUUCCAGCACAUCAACAAAUAAAACCGACACACGCUGCGAUAAAGCUGCAGGAAUCGAGUGGCACGCGACUCACCGAAUACGGGAUGUGUUUGGAGUGUCCAGUCAUCAGAAGCAGAGCUGUGGGACGUGUGGACAGACAUUGACUGUAAUGAUGGACUUCUGCUGAUGGACGGAAGCAUAACCCCUGCUGGACAUCGUGGCGGGGUUCGGGGGGGGGACCCGACGCGUCCCCAUCCCCUUCACACAUACAGCAUUCACUCGUAUUGCGGAGAUCUGGCUGGGAUUGAACCAGCAACCUCUGAAACCAUGAGGCAGCGCUCUUACCUGUGAGCCACAGAUCUCUUGCUGAUGCAUGUGCUGGAACUUAUAUUUAACUUUUCACCUG